CAACCCUCAAGCCCGCCCAGCGGGCUUGGUGUUGGGGACCGGCCCCGGCCGCCCCCGAAAUACAGUGGCGACCCCGCCGCAGCCUCCCCUGCGCAGUAGCACAACCUCGCACCGGAGCGCGGAGAGGGUCAGGCCGUAAAACGCCCAGCUCUUCAG
rnacentral:misc_RNA from 1 species